AGUGAACGCUGGCGGUAGGCCUAACACAUGCAAGUCGAACGGCAGCACAGUAAGAGCUUGCUCUUACGGGUGGCGAGUGGCGGACGGGUGAGGAAUACAUCGGAAUCUACUUUUUCGUGGGGGAUAACGUAGGGAAACUUACGCUAAUACCGCAUACGACCUACGGGUGAAAGCAGGGGAUCUUCGGACCUUGCGCGAUUGAAUGAGCCGAUGUCGGAUUAGCUAGUUGGCGGGGUAAAGGCCCACCAAGGCGACGAUCCGUAGCUGGUCUGAGAGGAUGAUCAGCCACACUGGAAGUGAGACACGGUCCAGACUCCUACGGGAGGCAGCAGUGGGGAAUAUUGGACAAUGGGCGCAAGCCUGAUCCAGCCAUACCGCGUGGGUGAAGAAGGCCUUCGGGUUGUAAAGCCCUUUUGUUGGGAAAGAAAAGCAGCAGGUUAAUACCCCGCUGUUCUGACGGUACCCAAAGAAUAAGCACCGGCUAAUUUCGU
rnacentral:rRNA from 1 species